ACUGCGCGCGGGCACCACGGCGGUUUUUCGACGCUGGCGGUGGACGCAGGCGGCAUGGACCACGGUUGCUGGGCGGAUGGGGAGCGUCUAUGGUCAGUUGCCUUAGAAAUGGUGAGAUGGGAAGCUGCAGUUGGAAGACCCUGGAGGAUGCCUGACAAGGGGAUGUCUGACACAUGAUUGGAGCUCUUUUUGAAACGUUUCUUGCCCUUCCUGGAGCAGAGGAGCCAUUAUUUAUGCAGGUAAAAUAAGAUGAACUGUUACUUCUCUUGAAUCACGUGAGUAUGAGAAGAAUGCCUCCCAAGAAAUGAGAGGUUGAUUUGACAGACUCAGUCUUGUCACAUUUUGUGGAAGUUAAGCCUGUGAGUUAGAGGGCAAAUCCCAGAGCCCAGUGCGUGGCAGAUUGUGACCUUCCCAUCGUGCCUGCACCUCCGGGGGAUCUGCAUGGAUCACCUAGACAGGCACUGAUAAGAUAUAACAUGGUAAUCCAUCACUAAGUUUGCAGUUUUUUCUCUUUGGUUCUUUUAAAACUGAUUUUACAGUCAUAAAAUUUGGUGAGGGAAAGACUGGAUGGGAAUUUCGGAGAUGGGAAGAGAGGUGUAAUCUGGUUCUGGGACAUAUAGUAAAAUG
rnacentral:sRNA from 1 species